CUCUCGAACUACUAACCUCAGGUGGGAUAACUGUUUGAGUCCAGGAGGUAGAAACUGCAGUGAACUGUGAUUGCACCACUGCACUCCAAUCUGGGUGACAGAAUGAGACCCUGUCUCAAAAAAAAAAAAAAAAAUUAGAAAUAAGACUUAGUAAAACAAUAAAAGCUAAAUAGAUAAUAUGUGAAAUUUAUCCAGUAGCAGGAAUGGUCCCUGGGACCUUUAAGAAGCAGAUGGCGGUAUUCAAUUUUAAGUUGCUUGCAGAGUCCUUGCUACCCCAAACCUUCCUGCAAAUCAGCUACACAUAACAGUGAGUCAGUGACCUUUAGGAAAGAAAAGGGAUUGGGGUCACGGCCAGAGGUACAAUGACAAGGUACAAAAAAGGAUAGGGAUGGAUUUCAUAACCUAGUUUAAACGCAGUGGGGAAAUAAAUUCAGGAAAUAAAUCAGGUAAGUAGGAGAAAAGUUCACCAAGUACUUCCAGAGAUACUUGGAGAGACACUGGAUUUCACAGGGACAUGGCGUAGGGGUUCAAUCCAGCUUCACUUCUAUCUUAAAGGUCAAGUUAACGAGUAAGUUGGAGGACUUUGAAAAUCCAAGUAAAAAAUUGUCACUAGCCUGUGACAAUAGGGAUGAGAGAAAUAAAAACUUCGCAGUUGGCCAAAAAGGUUGACAGUGAUUCUAAUAACUGAAUUAAAGUGGUGUGGCCCUUAAAGUUUAUCAAAUUCCAUUUAUUCACUCAUAAUUGCACUAUUUUCAUGGAAAGUCUUAGUCUCCUAAAACAUUGAGAGGAUAUACCAUGGAACUAGAUGGCAAACUUGGUUUGGUUGGUUUUUGUAAUCUUUACCAUUGCUAGAAAGUUAGAAAAGGGUGGCUUCACUUCAGCAGAAAUUUUGAAAAAUUCGUGGAACCAGAAGAAACCCAAUCUAAAAGAAAUACAAGAGAACAUUUUCGCAGAGUUUUAAGUGCAAUUUCAAAGAAAAUUCAAACUUAGAAUCAAAUUCAAAGAGGAGGCAGCACCCCAAAGCAACAUUUUUUGUUUUAUUGAGGUAUAAUUUACAUACAACAAAGCUCACCAUUUUAAGUGUACCACUAGAUGAGUUGUUGACAAAUGUAGACAGCCAUGAAACCACCAUGAAACCAGAAUCAUAGAACAUUUCCAUCAUUUCAGAAAAUUCCAUUAUGCCCUUUUACAGUCAAUCUCUUCCAUUCACCCCUGACCUCUGUCAACCACUGAGUGUUUUCUGUCACUAUAAUUGUACAUUUCUAGGGCUUUAUAUAAAUGGAAUCAUAUGUAGUCACUGUGUCUGAUGUCUUUCGUUUAGCAUAAUGCUUUUGAGAUCUUUUUAUGGCUCAGUAAUAUUCCAUUGUGUGGAUGUGUACUACAUCUUGGUUUUGUCCUUUACCAAUUGAUGGAUGUUUAGGUUGUUACUAGUUUUAGGCUAUCACAA
rnacentral:lncRNA from 1 species